UUCUAAUGUGGCAGAUUAGUGCAAUGGAUUUAAGCCCCAUUUAUAAAGGUUUUAUCCUUUUUUUAGAAUG
rnacentral:tRNA from 1 species